GACGGAAGGUGCAAGCGUUGCUCGGAAUCAUUGGGCGUAAAGAGCGUGUAGGCGGCCCGAUAAGUCUGCCGUGAAAGUCCAGGGCUCAACCCUGGAAUGCCGGUGGAAACUGUCGGGCUGGAGUCCGGAAGAGGCGAGUGGAAUUCCUGGUGUAGCGGUGAAAUGCGCAGAUAUCAAGAGGAACACCGAUGGCGAAGGCAGCUCGCUGGGACGGUACUGACGCUGAGGCACGAAAGCGUGGGGAGCAAACAGG
rnacentral:rRNA from 1 species